GUUUAUAAAAAAAAAAAAAAAAAAGUAAUGCAGUGGUACACUGGCAAUGAGGCCUCUCCAUGUUGGACGAGAAGCCUAUAAAAGCUUUUGUGAGGAAACAAAAAUGCUUUUGACAGCCUGUCAACAAAUCUUGCCAUUAAAUAUUUAUUUUAGUGUAAGCUGUAUUAGUUUUUUUUUUUUUUUUUUUUUAAAGACAUUUUGUAAAAAUAUACAUUAUUUUUUAAUUAGGAAAAAACAGAUACAUAUAUGGGCUCUUUCUAUAUACCACAUUUCUUCACAUUUUAUUAAAGUGACAAAUUUCAAAAACCUUUUGAAAAACUAAAAACAAAACUACCCUGUAAUCACGCAAUGCUAAGACAGCACUUAUACAGUAUUUAAUAUGUUUUUAAACAUUGCUAAAAUGGAUGCGAUACCUCUUGUUACAUUGAAUAAUUGUAUACAUCUUAUAUAUAUGAUGUGUACACACACACACACACACACACACACACACAAUGUCCGAUCACACGAUGAUUGGCCUGUUAAGCGGUUGACGUCAGUAAAUUACAAAAGGGAGUACGGCUUCUUAACAGACCACAACUGCACUGCACACAAUAGCUGUGUAUACAUUCCAUUUCAUAUUUCUGUUAUGAAAUAUCAUUUAUUCAUAAGUUUAUAAAGCAACAGAUGUGUGAAGCCCAACUGUUAAACUUUCCAGCUCAUCUUUGGUGGUAGUGCAGCAGUACCUUCAGCGCGUGAACUCUCCUGCGGUCACCAGCUGCUGUUGUCAGAGUUUGUCAGGAGCAGAAGAAUGGAGAAAAGAGCUGGCACACUUCUCUUUCAGAAUCACAUCACUGUGGAAGAAGAGAUAACUAUUUGAUCCAAUGAAGAAAUGAGAGUCACUACAAAUGAAGUUCAGGAUUAUACAGAGAAACUCAACUGUCCUAACCAGGUGUGACAAAUGUUGAUACAAAAAAAAUAAACCCAUCUCUUCUAGUAAUCUGAAGACUUUAAUCACCUGAAACCACAACAAGCAGCAAGAAGUGUUGGGUAUCAUUUGAAUUAUCAAAUUCUGAUUCUGCUUAUUGAUUCAGA
ensembl:lncRNA